UACAGAGGGUGCAAGCGUUGUUCGGAAUUACUGGGCGUAAAGCGCGCGUAGGCGGCUUGCUAAGUCAGACGUGAAAGCCCUGGGCUCAACCCGGGAAUUGCGUUUGAUACUGGCGAGCUUGAGAUUCAGAGAGGUGAGUGGAAUUCCUAGUGUAGAGGUGAAAUUCGUAGAUAUUAGGAAGAACACCAGUGGCGAAGGCGGCUCACUGGCUGAACACUGACGCUAAAGCGCGAAAGCGUGGGGAGCAAACAGG
rnacentral:rRNA from 1 species